UACGUAGGGUGCAAGCGUUAAUCGGAAUUACUGGGCGUAAAGCGUGCGCAGGCGGUUUUGUAAGUCUGUCGUGAAAUCCCCGGGCUUAACCUGGGAAUGGCGAUGGAGACUGCAAGGCUAGAGUUUGGCAGAGGGGGGUAGAAUUCCACGUGUAGCAGUGAAAUGCGUAGAGAUGUGGAGGAACACCGAUGACGAAGGCAGCCCCCUGGGUCAAAACUGACGCUCAUGCACGAAAGCGUGGGGAGCAAACAGG
rnacentral:rRNA from 1 species